AGGCAGAAAAAGAAGAAUGUAUCUAUACAACGCCAGCAAUAUAUCUCUCAACGUAUGAGCACGCAGAGUUAGAACUACGAACGCAUAGAGAGCUAGCAAUUUAUGAGGUACCUGACAGAGGGAGGUUUAUAAUGGAUGGAGAAAAAUUAUGGAGAGGUUCCGGAGAUGGAAAUUCCAGCACAGAGUCCGAUAAUGAUGAUUUGAUAUUUUCUCUGCACUCAGCUGAUGAUGUCAUUUUAAGAGAAGAAGCGAGAGAGUCUGAAACUGAGUGUGAUCGACUAUGGAAAACCUAUGAAGUUCCACGUUGCAAAGAAAUGGGUCGUUGGAAAGACGGAGUGUUAGCUCCAUCAUAAUUUCAGAACCAAUAAGUAUUACUUGCAUUAUACACCAGGAGCUUGAAAAACUUAUACAAAGCCUGAUCAAGAAAAGAAAACGGCUCAAUUUGUUAACAACAUAGGUCCAUCAUUUUGUUCUGUUCAAAAGAGUUGAAAAUAUGAAAGCAAUGUAAAAUAUUUUAUUUACGUUGAAACGCUAAGGAGAGAAAUUAUUAAAGGAAGUGCUGAAAUAUAUAAAAAUAUCGUGGAGUAUUUAUUUUUAGGUUGAAGCAUCAGGCGGAGGAAUUAUUCAAAGCAUUAAAACAACAUGAAUGAUUUUUUUUUUGUUGAAGCAACAGGCAGGAACUAUUGACGAAAUUGUUGAAAUAUAUAAAAUAUCAUAAAGAACUUUUUGCUUGUGUUGAAACACCUAACAGAUGAUUUAUUGCAGAAAAUGUUGAAAUGUAUAAAAAUAUCGCGGAAUUUGUUGUAUCGCGUUUAUGUUGAAACACUAGACGGAGGAAUUAUUCAGAAAGUGUUGAUAAGCAUUAAAACAACAUGGAUGAUUUUUUGUUGUUGAUACAACAGGCAGGAGCUAUUGACGAAAUUGUUGAAAUAUAUAAAAUAUCAUAGAGAACUUUUUAUUUGUGUUGAAACACCAAGCAAAUGAUUUAUUGAAAAAAAUAUUGAAAUAUAUAAAAAUAUCACGGAAUUUGUUGUAUCGCGUUUAUGUUGAAACACUAGACGGUGGAAUUGUUGAAGAAAUUGUUGAAAUAUAUGAAGAUAUCGUGGAAUAUUGUUUUAUUUACGUUGAAACAUGAAAGUAAUUUGUUCUGAAUAUUGAAAUGAGCUGACACUCGGUCUGGAAAGAAGCUUCGCAUUUUAGAAAGCUUCCUUUUUUAAGAAAAGUUAUGAUCAAAAAGGUUCUAUUUUUAGUAGAAAAGAUUUGUACUUCCUCUUUGUAUAAACUUGUUUAAUGACAAAACUUUUCAAUCCAUAUGAUGAUGUUACACUUUUAUCUUAAAUUUACGUAUGUGUACAAUAAAAGAAUAUUGAUGUUUUAA